UAAUACGGAGGGCGCAAGCGUUGUUCGGAAUCACUGGGCGUAAAGCGCGUGUAGGCGGCCGGGCAAGUCGGAUGUGAAAUCCCGAGGCUCAACCUCGGAACUGCACUCGAAACUGCUCGGCUCGAGUCCCGGAGAGGAUGGCGGAAUUCCCGGUGUAGGGGUGAAAUCCGUAGAUAUCGGGAGGAACACCAGUGGCGAAGGCGGCCAUCUGGACGGUGACUGACGCUGAGACGCGAAAGCGUGGGGAGCAAACAGGAUUAGAUACCCUGGUAGUCCACGCCGUAAACGGUGAGUGCUAGACGUCGCGGGUAUUGACCCCCGCGGUGUCGAAGCUAACGCGUUAAGCACUCCGCCUGGGGAGUACGGCCGCAAGGCUAAAACUUAAAUGAAUUGACGG
rnacentral:rRNA from 1 species